rnacentral:rRNA from 1 species
UACGGAGGGUGCAAGCGUCAAUCGGAAUUAUUGGGCGUAAAGGGCGCGUAGGCGGAUUUUUAAGUUAGAUGUGAAAUUUCGGAGCUCAAAUUCGAAGCUGCAUUUAAAACUGAGAGUCUAGAGGGUCAACGGAGAAAACGGAAUUCCACGUGUAGCGGUGAAAUGCGUAGAUAUGUGGAAGAACACCUGUGGCGAAAGCGGUUUUCUAGUUGACAACUGACGCUGAGGCGCGAGAGCAAGGGGAGCAAACAGG